GCCCAAUUCUAGGGCCUAUUUAGAUUGUAGGAUUUUAAAAGAUAUUUGGAGAAUUCUCAUCCUCUGGUAGGAAUGGAGUUGGCAAAAUCCUAUGGAAUACAUUCCUUCGGCCUCCAUUCCAUAGAAGUUCUAACAUGAGUUUAAACCUGAUUCUUUUUUUUUUCCUUUGAGAAGUCCAAUGCAUCUUACUUCUUCAUCUCUCUACUUUCUCUCCUAAUUCCAGUAAUAUUUCAUAUGUUCAAUUCCUGUGCACCAUCCAAAGACGGUACUACCCAAAUUUCCGUGUUUGUAAAUCCUAUAUAAGAAGAAUUCAAUAUUUCAAUAGUCAAUACUGUGCUUUUCUUGUUUCUGCAUUUCUAAUCCCUGCAAUCCAAAGAAGCCCUAGCUUGGUGGUUUGCAGGGUUUAACUCUGAGAUUUUUCAAAUGAUGUCAUAACUGAAAAUUUCCAUCCCUUUAGAAAAUUCGCCGCACGGUGCAGUUGUCAACUUGGAAUACAAUGCUUCCUGCAGAUAAGAUGAAGUAUUCUCAACUUGUUGGACUUUUUUUUUUAGGAAACACAGUACUAGUACGCACACAUAUACUCAUCCCUAUGGACGCACGCACGCACACCCUACCCCUAUGAGCACCUCCGAGAGACUGGUCCGGCACAUCAUCUUGAGAUUGACGAAGUCACCGCGCGUAGGCGUCUAGUAGUUGACGGAUACGUCACUCCCACCGAAAGCAC
rnacentral:lncRNA from 1 species